rnacentral:rRNA from 1 species
UCGUUGAAUAAUCUCGAUAUUCAUCAUGUCGUAAGGGAAAAUAAUGAUAUUACCUUACUAUGAGUGUCGUCCAAAACUGGUGCCAGAAGACUCGGUAAUACCAGAGACGCAAACGUUAAUCAUCAUAAACAGGCGUAAAGGGUUUGUAGGCAGCUUUCAUAAGAUUAUUUCUUACACAAAUAAAUAAGUGGUCUGAUUGAAAGCUAGAAUCAAAAAGAGGUUAUAGUGUAUAACGCCUAGAGGAGGGCUGAUAUCCUUAGAUCCUAGGCAGAAUACUUAGGGCGAAGGCCACUCUCCACUAAUGAUUGACGCUGAGAAACGAAGGUAAGGGUAGGAAAUAGGAUUAGAUACCCCGGUACUCCUUUCUGUAAACGAUGAAUGGUAGUCAUUAGUAAAAUUAAAAUUAGAGACGAAGUUAACACAAUAACCAUUCCGCCUUGUGAGUACUACUGCAAAGUAGAAAACAAAAAAAUUAGUCGGUCUCGAAGCAAACGGAGUGAAGCAUGUUAUUUA